GAUGAAGAACGCAGCGAAAUGCGAUAAGUAAUGUGAAUUGCAGAAUUCAGUGAAUCAUCGAAUCUUUGAACGCGCAUUGCGCCCCUUGGUAUUCCGGGGGGCAUGCCUCUUCCAGCGUCAUUUCACCCCUCAAGCUCUGCUUGGUUUUGGGCCGCGCCGGCAACGGCGGGCCUCGAAAAUAGUGGCGACGCCAUCGUGCUCUCAGCGUAGUAAUUCUUCUCGCUGUUGGGUCCCGGUGGUCGUCCGCCAGCAACCCCCAACUUUCUUAAGUUUGACCUGGGAUGAGGUAGGGAUACCCGCUGAACUUAAGCAUAUCAAUAAGCGGAGGA
rnacentral:misc_RNA from 1 species